AGAGUUAAGACGAAAAAGUGAACGAAAUCGAGCUAUAGAAUAUAUCAGAUUGAUUUAAUAAUUUUAAAUGUACAGGGUUUAUUAAACGCUAUUGAUAAAACCAGUAGAAGCUAUCAAAAAAUCCAAUAAAUUUUAUAGGUUUUUAUAACUUAUCAUUAUUAAAUGCUAAGCUCAGCGAAAAAUAUUAGUAAUUCCAAUGAAAUCUAAAAGGCUGAUUUAGUAUGCAUUUCAUUAGAGAAAUCCAAUAACUUCCACUGGCAUUCUUUGUGCUUUGUGCUAGUAUGCUUUAACUUUGUUACCGAUUGUUAUCCUAUCGCCAUGCCCAGUUUCGUUAUUUUUGCCAUAAGUAUUUAAAUAACGUCAAAAUUAUCGCCCCACUGUUGCUCAAAACUCAAUGUUAAUAAUAAUUAAGGAUGGUUAGUAAGUAUUCGAAUAAGUACUAAGCAAAUUGGUGUUGAUUGUGGGAUUUUAAUUUCUGCAUUUUAGUUUUACGGAAAUGGUUUAGUCACUUCAACAACCGUGAAAAGCUUGUGUGUUUAGAAAACAAAAGCAAGCUUAAAAUGGUUCCUAAAAUCAUAGACAGCAGCAGAUACUUUGAUACAACCAGAAGCAAAAACUGCAUCGGCCGAAACAAGCAUCACAUAUUUCCAAUUGCGAAACCUCUCGCAAACUUCGUAAUGGAAGAGGGCAAGCCGGAACAUCCACUCAUCGAGGACAAAUACAACAAACGGGGCUGACCUAUACCUGACGGUAUCUGAACUCGGUCAAAGGAAAUGUUAACCGCUCAUGACGCCUGCUACUGGCGUGGGGGAUUUUUUUUUGUUUGCGAACAGUACGACGAGGCGCUCCGAAAUUUCAUUCUCCCCCAGAAAGACACUUUCGGAAAAGACACACCAUGUCCCCUCGCAGAAUGCGGUGGUUAAGUCGUACGACAUCAAAGGUCUGGGGAAGUAAACACCAUCAUCUUCCAUGAUCAAGCAAACUGAACAGGAAACGGAAAUGAAAAGUUGCAUCGAGAGGCCGGCGGAACUCGGGAUUUUAUACCUACCGGGUCAGAACAACCAGAAUCAGAAAGCAGUUUUUUUUUCUAAAUAAUAUUAUGGAGAAAUUCUGUGGAAAAAUAUCAAUAAAUGUAUUAAUUUCUAUAAACAGACUUAUCAAUACCCGAGAAAAUAUUAAAAUCAUUUGAAAAACAAAAGCAUAUUAAAUGGCAAUCAUGGAACCAUUCAUUUCAUCAUCGAAAACAAUAAAUUGUAUCAAUUUGGUUUUUUAUUAUAUUCAUUGGAAAUUCCGAUAAAAUGAAUCCUUCGUCUCCUGAUAAAAAGUAUUGGAUUUUCCUUUAGUGCAAAAUUACUAAAAUUCCCAAUAAACCUCAUAGCCCGAUUUUGUU